UGGGGGAAAGUGGGUGGCUGACUGGUGGCAGGUGGAAGGUGGCAUGUGGAAGGCGGGGAGUGACCGCCCGUUGUGGCGCCUGCGGUUUCAAUACGAGAAUUAGUUUUUCAACAACAUCGCUGCAGGGCGUGCCGUUUAAUUAAAUUGAUUGCCAUCGAUGAUUUUUGAUCGUUUUUGUUCGAUUUUGAUUGACUGCGAUGAUGUGUGUGGGUGUGGAUCUAUUUUUUAUGCACUUUUGUGAGGCGCCAAAAGAUUGGGUCAAGUAAUAAGUGGGUCAAAAGACAGAAAUAGAGAAGCUAUAAGAAAUUAAUAGAUUGGGAACUAAAUGAUUGCAACAAAUACAUGAAAGUUAAUCAAACUAUUACAACGAAAAAGGUAAGCAUUAUCUAGUUCUUUAAAAAAAAAGAUAAUGUUUAAAAGUAAUUUAUCAAAUUUCUGUAGAAACAAGGUAUAGUACUAUCUUUAAUCUCUAAUCAUGACACUAACAUAAGUACUUAAAAGUUUCGGCGAAUUGAAAAAAUAUAUACUCAUUUCCUUUAUUAUCUUUUGGAAAAACUUCUGAGUCACAGGAAUAGCCGAUUUGUAAUUAAAAUGAAUCAAACUUACAGAUACUUCAAGUCAAGGAAGGAGUUGAGUGAAUCACUGGAUUUCGACUGCAUAUCAAAUUUUUCCAAAAAGUAAUAUAAUUUUAGCCGUGAUUUUUACAUCAUAAUAGAAUAACAAAGCAACAAAUAUAACAGUUCUCCAAAUUUUGUCUAAUUUCUUUUGUAGCUUCACCAAGAUUACAAAAGUAUUACGUCAAGACGAAUGGAAAUUAGCCAGUACAGACAUGGCCCAGACUAGCCCGAAAGUAAAAGUUAUACCAUUACGAAUAACAAAUUACCACAAUAGUCCAGUCCUCGGGCUGUGCAACAAGUCUUACAAAAGCCUGGAAACAUUGUUUCCCAAAAAAACAAAAAAAUAAUAAUAGAAAACAUAGAAACCCAAAACUGAAGCACUAAAUUAACAGACAAAGAAGUGGAGAAAUUGUUAAAACAAAGCCGAUUCAAGCCAGGCAGGCCGAAAGCAAACUAAGUCCAAGCCAAAUAGUAAUCUGAGGGAAUGGGGGAAGGCGGGCGAUUAAAACAAUACACUUAAUACACGCAUUUGUUUGUA